GAUGAAGAACGUAGCGAAAUGCGAUAAGUAAUGCGAAUUGCAGAAUUCAGUGAAUCAUCGAAUCUUUGAACGCACAUUGCGCCCGCCAGUAUUCUGGCGGGCAUGCCUGUCUGAGCGUCGUUUCGACCCUCGCGCCCGGCUUCUGUCGGGGGCGGUGUUGGGGAUCGGCCACACCCUUCAGUGGGAGGCCGGCCCCUAAAUUCAGUGGCGACCACGCUGUAGCCUCCCCUGCGUAGUACUAAAACCACCUCGCAGGCGGAGAGCGGUGCGGCCCGCCGUAAAACCCCCCAACUUUUACAAGGUCGACCUCAGAUCAGGUAGGAAUACCCGCUGAACUUAAGCAUAUCCAAUAAGCGGAGGA
rnacentral:misc_RNA from 1 species